GCCAAGCAUGGUGGUGUGGGGCUUGCCUUCCCCAUUGGGCUGUGUAGUAAUUUGUUGGGGGAAUGGACAAGGGGAGGAGGUAGUGAUGCAAAUUGCUUGGUCUUCAUUAAAUUAGCCUCCUUGUGUCAUUAUCAUUUUAAAUUCUUAGGUCAUUGUAUAGAGACUGAUAUCAGAAAAUAUUAAGUGAUAUGAGAGAGAAUUGUAAGACAAAAUACAUGUAUUUGUACAUACAUAUUCUAGGUACUUUCAGAAGGACUUAAAUCUGUUAGAAUUAAAGGUAGUAUACAGCAGGACAGUUAGAGGACAUAAUAAACCAUCUAAAAGGAGCACUGGGCCAGUGCGGUGGCUGAAGCCUGUAAUCCCAGCACUUUAGGAGGUCGAGGUGGGCAGAUCGCUUGAGUUCAGGAAUUCAAGACCAGCCUGGGCAAUGUGGUGAGACACUGUCUCUACAAAAAGUGCAAAAAAUUAGCUGGGCAUGGUGGUAAGUGCCUGUAGUUCCAGGCACUUGGGGCGCUAAGGUGGGAGGAACACUUGAGCCCAGGAGGCAGAGGUUUCAGUGAGCUGAGAUCGUGCUACUGCAGUCCAGCCUGGGCGGCAGAACCAGAUCCUGCCUCCAAAAAAUAAAGUACAAUAAAAACAUUAAAAUAAUAAAAGAACAUAGAGAGGAGAAAGUGUACCAGGCUCCUGAGGGGAGCUAAUUAUAACUCUUGUGCACUGUAUUUGACUUUCUGUUUUCUGACUGCUAAGGCUAAAAGAAAACCAUUCCUUUCUUUGUGUAGCAUUGAAUUACAUAGCGUUUAUUGUCUGUGGGAAGCAAGCAUGCACAUUUGUUUACAGAGAAAGAUUCUUUCCUGGCAUUGUACUUAACGAAAAAGACAUUCUGUGGGGUUCUGCCAUUGUGUGACAUAGUGGGUUAUGUUUUCAGCUAUGAUUUCACGGAAGACACAGAAACUAUUCAAGUGGAGUGUUCUUGUAUUGAUGCUUUGUAAAGACCAAGAGUUAAACUCCUAAAGGGCAAGCGUGUUGUGUGAUGAAUAUUAAGAACAAUAUGAUCUAGACACCAUGCUUUGUGUGGACCCAACUGAGAAUCUAGGAGAAAGAGAAAUGACUAUUCAGCUGCUUCUUUGUCACUUAACUUACUGAUUUGGACAUUAAUUUUCUGGAAUUUGGAGCUCCUGAGCCAAAGUUGUACAUUUUACCUACAAUCAAGUACAUUCUCCUAUAUAUCAAAAUACAACCAUCAAGAUCAGAAAUUUAACACUGAUACUUCACUACUAUUCAGACCUCGGGCUUAUCAGGUACUGCCAGUUGCCCAGUGUUGUCCAUUAUGUGUAAUGAAUCUGUGGCAGAAGCGCAUAUUCUGUUUUCUUGUUUUUGUAAUUUCUUUUAAUUUGGAACAGUUCUCAGUGUUUUCCUGGCUUUCAUGUCCUUGACAUUUUUGAAGAUUGUAAACCGGUUAUUUUAUAUAAUGUUUCUCAAUUUGGGAUGCCACAGUAGUGAUGUUGUCUUUUUGCAUUAAAUCCUUUCAGAUGGUACACAGGUUUGAUUUAUUCCAUUGGAGUUGAUGCCUUCACUUGAUCAAGAUUGUGUCUGCCAGAUAUCCCUGACAGCUGUUCUUUUCCCCUAGUAAUAAGUAUUUUGUUGAGAGUUACUUUGAGACUACAUAUAUAACCCAUUCAAAUAUUUAUCCCUACCCCCGCCGCCACCCCGGGCUGACUUUCUGUCUCGGGUGGACUGAUAAAUUCAUGGAUCUCUGUUUUAUUCAGUGGGUUAUGAUCACUUACUCUCCUUAUAUGUUUUGAUGCUUAGAUUAUCCCAAAUUUUGUUCUUAGGAGCCCCUUCAGAUUGGUUCUGUGUCCUUUUGAAAUGCCUCAAUCGUUCUUUGAUCGUUUAUUUUUUUGUUUUGUUUUGAGAUGGAGUCUCGCUCUGUCACCCAGGCUGUAGUGCAGUGGUGUGAUCUCUGUUUCACUGCAACCUCCACCUCCUGGGUUCAAGCAAUUCUCGUGCCAGCCUCCUGAGUAGCUGAGACUACAGGCUCAUGCCACCACGCCUGGUUAACCUUUGUAUUUUUAGUAGAGAUGGGGUUUCACCAUGUUGGCCAGGCUGGUCUUGAACUCCUGACCUCAAGUAAUUCUCCUGCCUCAGCCUCCCAAAGUAUUGGGAUUACCGGUGUGAACCACCAUGCCCGGUCCUUUGAUCAUUUCUUUACCUUCAAGUACAGUAGGAUAUGCCAGGUUCAUCUUGUGUUUUUCCUAUCCCAGCCCUGGAGUCUACUCUUUUCACAGAGAAUCCUGCUUUUUUUUUUUUUUUUUUUAAAUUAAACAAUAAUAUUUAGAAAGCUAGACCUGGGCAUUAGGUGUGCUUAUUACUUUUGGCUUGUCACUUUCAGAUCUCAGUACAGAGCUAGGAACACAAACAUAUGCACCUGCUUCCUUUAUGUUUAUAUUUAUUUAUAUAUUUACAUAUGUUUUGAAAUCCAUGAGUUUAUUAAUCUGAUACCUCUAAUACCAGAAGAUUCAGCCUGGUGUUCUCCCUUUCCAUCUUUGUGGUUUCUUUCUCUGAUAGUAAGAGUCUGGGCUCUUCCCAUCCUCAUUGCGUUGACUUAGUUGAUUGAUUUCCCUGUAUGGUAUGAAUCACCAGUCACCAUCACUAUGUCUCUCCCUUCCCUUCUCACCUAACUCAUGCUCUGACAUCCUUUGUUGAUUGGCCCUGCCUCAUGGCUUGGGAUUUAAUGGUCCAGGAUGGGAAGGGGAGAGAGCUUUCCCAGGCUGGUAGUGUGUGUUAUGUAAUCUGAGGUAUCAUUUUUCUUCUGAUACUUCACCUCUUUCUCUUGCUUUUAUUGACUUCAUUCCUGGAGAGUCUCUGCCCUCAAUUACUUCUCAGUUUCCUCAAAAUACAAUUAAAAAAAAAUUAACAACAAAAGACAUCACAUGUAUUUCUUUUUAAAAAUAAAAUUUGUUCAUCACAGGAAAUGUAGACACUUGGGUUGGAGGGCAGAAGUCACCUGUGAUCCCACUACUCAGCAAGAGCUGCAGCAAGCCUUCAUCAUUUAUGAUCAGCUAGAUUACAUCUUAACUUUUUACCUCAUCUUUACAAGUUUCCCUUAUUUAAAAUGUAUGAACCCUCAGCUGUUUUAAUAAGAGGGUCCAUAUUUAAAGUUCUGAUAUUGCAAAAGCAUUGUUCAUUGCUCUUGUGUACUUACUUGCCUUGGUAUUCUCUCUGGAGUAGGACUCUUCAUUUCCUGACAGCCAUGUUCCUACUCGCGUUAUCUUAGAUCUCCAAGAGGAUUAUGGCAUUAUUGACUGAUUCCUGAGCCUUGGUUCAAAACCUGGCUGUGUUGCUUUGUAGCUCCGUCUUCUUGGACAAAUUCCUUUCUCUUUAGGCUUUGGUUUUUCAUCUAUGAUAUGAUAAUUUAUAUUAUAUUAAUGUUAAUACCUAAGAUUUUUAUGAGGAUUUAAAUGAAAUAUAUGAAGUUCAUGACACAGUAUCUGAUACGAGGCUCAUAAGAAAUAUGAGUUUCACUCUUCUUCUGUCUGUUCUAUCAUUCUUCUUUCAUUGUGUUCUCAUCUGUACUUCAUGCUGUCUAUACCCAUCAGUGCUGGCUCCCUUAACUCCCUGACCGUGUCUCAUGUUGGGUGUGUUUCCUUAACCUCUGGAGAGAGAGCUGUCAGCACUGCCUAUCUUUUUUACAUAUCACCUCUGGUCUGUUGUCUGGGCACAAGCUGUAGCAGUAGGCUGUGCAGUUUAUUCAGAUUCUGCUUCCAAGCCCUGGGGAUUACCAAGAUCAGGGGCAGGGUCAGCCUGUAAACAAACACUGUCGGGAGGCCUUGUGUCAUACAUGCUUGUUUCAUGAGUUUGAGCAAAAAAAACCUGUGUCACAGCCAAACCUCCUUUUGUGGGAAGAUUUGUGUUUCAUGUGGGGUUUUCAGAGGCAGUAGGGGGUGCCUGGUAAACAUUCCUAGGCUGCACUGUAAACCCCUGAAUUGGAAUCCUUGAGAGUGGGACUUAGGAAUCCAAAUAUUUAACAAAUUCAUCAGUGAUUUUUCUGCACAUUGAACACUAAAAUCUGCUCCAUUCUAAGGUCUGCAUGUAUCAUCCUUCUAAAACUCCAAGGAUAUAACCACAUGAAGGCACCCUUCAUACUAUACGUGCAAUAUAAGCGGAAUCAUUGCUUUGAACUACCUUAUGUUCCUAACUUUUUCCAGAACCCUCGGUGUAUACCUGCUACAAGGACAUACUAAAUGGUGACUGUAGGAACAUUGCCUUGCAAUAUCAGGCUGCCUGUAGUAGCUGUCCUCAGACAUGAGUUUUGUUGCUCUCUUAAAUCAUUCUUAGAUAAGUUGGCACCUUUGUACAGUUUUCAUCUCUUGAAUUAUUUCUGGAGACAUCAACAGCUGUGGUCUGACUUGGUAUGAAAACAUGUCAUUUCCUUAGAAAUGCAUUUAUUCGACCUCUAAUCAGACCCUUUCCUUUAUUACCCACGGUAUUGUCCCCCGCAUCCCCAACUUAUCAUAGUGUGGAAUUGUACAUUUAUUUCUGUGUUCAUGUAUCUCCCCCUCUCUAGUCUGAAAGGUUCCCUUUGGUCAAGGCCCUGUAGUUUGUUAACUCCACUGCAUUUGAACCAUCCAUAAUGCAGUACGUAUUUUGUUUGGAUAAAGGCAUUUUCUCUAGUGUUGGGUUGCAAGUACGGGAUAGGCAGAGUGCUGAUGUUCAGGUGGAUCUGGGGAAGGCAUGUCGGCAUGAGCAGGCUGGCAUGCUGACUGGCAGAUCAGAAUAUAGGGCCUUUGUUUCUGCCUCACGUUUUCUUAAAAUCAUCCAUAGUUCUCCGGAAUACUUAACCUGUCACACACAUUUGAGUGACAUAUAUUUCUUACCUGUAAAAACUUAGGGACAUUAUUUUCUUCAAAAUAGAGCAUAAAAUAUUAUAAGUAUACACACUAGAAGCAUGUCAGAUGAGUUUCUUCCUAUACACAAAUUGCCUUUACCCAUGUGUGUCUAUUUUCCAUCUGUGAAAACGGUAGACUGGUUGAAUUUUAAUAACUCACAAAAUUUACUGUUGGUGGCUAUUUGCUGUCAUUGGCAUCCCUCCUCCCUUUCUCCUUCCCUCCCUGCCCCCCAACCCUCCGAGUCUAUGACUUUGAUUUAUUUUAUUUUAUUUUUUAUGAGAUGGAGUUUCACUCUUGUCACCCAGGCUGGAGUGCAAUGCUGCAAUCUCCACUCACUGCCUCUACCUCCCGGGUACAAACAAUUCUCCUGCCUCAGCCUCCCGAGUAGCUUGGAUUACAGGCAUGCACCACCAUGCUCAGCUGAUUUUUGUAUUUUUAGUAGAGAUGAGGUUUCACCAUGUUGGCCAUGCUGGUCUCGAACUCCUGACCUCAAGUGAUCCGCCUGUCUCAGCCUCCCAAAGUGCAGGGAUUACAGGUGUGAGCCACUGUGCCCAAUCUGUGUUGUUUUUUAAGGAAAAAAAAGCAAAGAACCUUAAAGCUGCUUUAGAAUUGAUAUUUGUACAGUAAAAAGAAUAACAAACAAAAGAAAUAUUUGUACAGCCAAGUAAUGUUGGCUGUGUUACAUCAGAGGUUCUUCGCUGGGUGCGGUUUUGACCCCUGGGAGUCCAUUUGUGAAUGUUUGGAGACAUUUGCUUGCCGUGACGGGCUGCUACUGGCAUCUCUUGGGCAGAGCCAGGGAUGCUGCUAAAGGUUCCACAGCGCACAGGACAGUUACCCAUAACAGAAAUUACUCAGCUCCUAAUGUCAGCAGUGCCCAGAUGGAAAAUCUCUGCCAUAGAAAUGCCUGUUUUUGUCUAUUAAAAUGGUGUUGUGUGGCUGAAGUAUUUUAUAGACGUGUGGUCUUUACUUUCUGUUCCUUUUGAUAGAAAGAUAACCUUUCUUUAUUCACAGUUCUUUUACUUAAAAUCAUUAAUGCUGCACAGAUACUUAAUUCACUAUGCUUUUCAUUUAUUAGUUGGCUUAAUUUGGCUUAAUUCAAGCCUUAAAAAGAAACCCUGCCUAUCUAUGUGAACAAAGCAAUAGAUGCUCUUGAACCUAUUACAUAAGGCCUCAUUACAUUUCUUUUAUGGAGACCAAGGAGAUUCUGACUCCUGAUCUGUUGGUGCUUUAAAUUGACAAGGAUAUUUAUGAUACAAGCUUUAAAUAGCAUGACAGGUGAGUUCAUGGUUUAUUCAUUGAGGCUUGAUGAUGUGCAAAACGUUGUACUUUACUACAGGGCACAUAGAGGUAAAUGAGAAACAGCCCUACUUUCUAGAUUAUGGCCUCUUAGACUUUGCCACUAGAAUGCCAGCUACUUAAGGGCAGAGCCUUGACCUGUCUAGCUUCCCUGGCACCCCAGUAGAACAAUCUGUGGCCUGCUGAAUAGUGACUGAAUGAAUAGACUGCUCAAAUAUCUUUUUUUUCAUCUAAGUGUGGUUCGUUAAUAAUAAGUGAGAAAAGGGAAGAUAUGUGAGGGCUAAAAGGAAGAAUGUUAUAUUUGAAUAGAGGACUCAGAAAAGAUGUUAUAAAAAACUGAAAGGGACUUUGUCAGUAAAGAAUAUUUGGAUGAUGUUGAGAGUAUGGGGCACUACUCAGACUAAAUCCUGGAGGCAGAACAAGGUGUAAGAAGCCCUAACUGCUUGUGUUUUCCUAACAAAUGGGGAAACUAAAAAUUGAUGGUAGAAGAUUAGGUUUAAAAGCAGUUUGGGAGCAUCAUGUAGAGGAUAGAGAUGAGUGUGAGAAAUUUGUGGUGAAGUAACUUUAAAGCAUCACUUCAAAAUAUUACCAAAAAUCCCCACAGAAAACCGAAAGAAAGCAGAGUAGAAACAGAAUCCUGGUGUUAUAAUCUCUCCUCUUUUUACAAAACAUAUUUAGCAGGCCGGGCAUGGUGGCCCACGCCUGUAAUCCCAGCACUUUGGGAGGCCGAGGUGGGCAGAUCACGAGGUCAGGAGAUUGAGGCCAUCCUGGCCAACAUAUCGAAGCCCUGUCUCUACUAAAGAUACAAAAAAUUAGCCGGGCACGGUGGCACGCGCCUGUAGUCCCAGCUCCUCGGGAGGCGGAGGCAGGAGAAUCACUUCAACGUGGGAGGCGGAGGUUGCAAUGAGUUGAGAUUGCGCCACUGCACUCCAGCCUGGGCGAUAGAACGAGACUCUGUCUCAAAAAAAUAAAAACAAAAAAUAAAAAUAUAUUUAGCAAAAGAGCAGUGCCAAAAUGUCAGCAGUAUGUGGUAGGCCUGAGGUGUUUUUUUGAAAUAUACUUUUAUCUUGUUGCUGCAGCACCAUUUAUCGAGAAGACUUGUUCCCCCACCUAUUCAGUUGCUUGCCUUUGUCCAUCAGUAGACAGAAUGUAUGGGGGUUUGUUUGUGGACUCCAUCUGCUCCAUCCCUCUUUUGGUCAAUGCUUGCUCUAAAGGUCUGGUUACUAUAGCUUUGUAUAGCAUGCCUUGAAUGGGUAGUGUCAGUCUUCCAGCUUUGUGCUUCUCUUCCAGGAUUGUUUUGACCUGUCUCGAUCCUUUGCAUUUUGUAUAAAUUCAGAGUCAGCUUAUACAUAUAAAUUUUAGAUACGCCUUAAUAAUAUUGAAUCUUCCAACCCAUUAACAUGGUAUUGUGUCUGUUUAUUUAGGUCUUUAUUGUUCUCAGAAAUGUUUUGUAGUUUUUGGUGUGGUUUUGAUGGGUUAUAGAAAUGUAACUGAUUCUUAUGCACCAACCACGUGGCCUGUAACUAUGCUGUUUGCUUAUUUAUUAGUGUUUGUGCAUGUGUAAAUUUCUCUAGGUUUUCUCUACACACAAUCAUUUCAUCAUUUCAGGGCAAAUGGAGGUUUUUCUUCUUCCUUAUGAUUCUUUAUAAAUUAUUAUUCUUUUUUGCCUCAUUCUUUUAUGCAUGAGGUUGAAUAGAAGUGGUAAGAAUAGACAUCUCCCUUGUCUUGUUUCUAAUCUUACAGUGAAUAUGUAGUUUUUUUUUAGAUACCUUUAUCAGGUUGAGAUGGAUCAUAUAUUUAAAUAUAAAGUUAAAACUGUAAAGUUUCUAGCAAAAAGUAAGAGAAUAUCUUCACAACCUUGGGAGUAGGGAAGGAUUUAUUAGAGAGCAUAUAAGAAACAUUAACUAUAAAAUAAAAAAUUAAUUAGACUUAAUCAAAAUUAAAAACUGUUCCUGAUUAAAAGACAUUUUUAAAAAUGAAAAGACCAGCUUCAGACUGGGAGAAGCUCUUUGCAAUACAUUUACCUGACAAAGAAUGUGACUGGGAGGGAACUUCAAGAGUGAGAUUUUGGAAAAAUGUUCUGUAUAUUGAUUAGAGUAUAUGUAUUUGUCAAAAAGCAGGGAAUCGUACACAUAAAACCUUUGACUUUCAUUGCAUGUAAAUAUCUGAAUUUUAAAAAACAUUGAUAGUAGCUAGUUACAUCUGGAUUGUAGGGUUUUGGUUUUUGUCUUCUUUACCUCUUUGUAUUGGUUUUCUUUGUUUUCUGCAUUGAGCAUAUAUUUCUUUGUAAAUACAGAAGAAUAUGUGCUUUUACUGCUGAAAGAAAUCAUAGACGACACAAACAAAUGGAAACACAUCCCAUGCUCAUAGGUGGGUAGAAUCAGUAUUGCGAAAAUGACCAUACUGCCGAAAGCAGUCUACAAAUUCGGUGCAAUUCCCAUCAAAGUACUACCGUCAUUCUUCACAGAACUAGAAAAAACCAUCCUAAAAUUCACAUGGAACCGAAAAAGAGUCUGCAUAGUCAAAGCAAGACUAAGCAAAAAGAGAAAAUUUGAAGGCAUCACAUUACCUGAUUUCAAACUGUACUGUAAGAGCACAGUCACCAAAACAGCAUGGUACUGGUAUAAAAAUAGGCACAUAGACCAGUGGAACAGAAUAGAGAACUGAGAAAUAAACCCAAAUACUUACAGCCAACUGAUCUUUGACAAAGCAAACAAAAAAGGGAACAGACACCCUAUUCAACAAAUGGUGCUGGGAAAACUGGCAAGCCAUCUGUAAGAGAAUGAAACUGGAUCCUCAUUUCAUACCUUAAACAAAAAUCAACUCAAGAUGGAUCAAGGACUUAAAUCUAAGACCUGAAACUAUAAACAUUAUUAGAAGGUAACAUCGGAAAAAUCCUUCUAGACAUUGGCUUAGGCAAGGAUUUCAUGAUCAAGAACCUAAAUGCAAAUGUGAUCAAAACAAAGUUAAAUACCUGGAACUUAAUUAAACUAAAGAGCUUUUACACAGCAAAAGGAAGAGUCAGCAGAGUAAACAGACAACCGAAAGCGUAGGAGAAAAUCUUCACAAUCUAUACAUCCGACAAAGGACUAAUAUCCAGAAACUACAAUGAACUCAAAUUAGCAAGGAAAAAAAAAUCCCAUGAAAAAGUGGGCUAAGGACAUGAAUAGACAGUUCUCCAAAGAAGAUAUACAGAUGGCCAAUAGACUAUGAAAAAAUGCUCAACAUCACUAAUGAUCAGGGAAAUGCAAAUCAAAAUCACAAUGCAAUACCACUUUACUCCUGCAAGAAUGUCCAUAAUCAAAAAAUCAAAAAAUAAUAGAUGUUAGCAUGGAUGCAGUGAAAAGGGAACACUUCUACACUGCUGGUGGGAAUGUACAGUAGUACAGCCACUAUGGAAACCAGUGUGGAGAUUCCGUAAAGAACUAAAAGUAGAACUACCAUUGAUCCAGCAAUCCCACUAACUGAGUAUCUACCUAGAGGAAAAUAAGUCGUUAUAUAAAAAAGUUACUUGCUCAUGCAUGUUUAUAGCAGCACAAUUCACAAUUGCAAAAAUGUGGAACCAACCCAAAUGUCCCUCAAUAAAUGAGUGGAUAAAGAAA